UACGUAGGGGGCAGGCGUUGUCCGGAUUUAUUGGGCGUAAGGAGCGUGUAGGCGGCCAGGUAGGUCUGCUGUGAAAACUCGAGGCUCAACCUCGAGACGUCGGCGGAAACCAUCUGGCUAGAGUCCGGAAGAGGAGAGUGGAAUUCCUGGUGUAGCGGUGAAAUGCGCAGAUAUCAGGAAGAACACCCGUGGCGAAGGCGGCUCUCUGGGACGGUACUGACGCUGAGACGCGAAAGCGUGGGGAGCGAACAGG
rnacentral:rRNA from 1 species